GACGAACGCUGGCGGCGUGCUUAACACAUGCAAGUCGAACGGAAAGGCCCUGCUUGCAGGGUACUCGAGUGGCGAACGGGUGAGUAACACGUGGGUGAUCUGCCCUGCACUUCGGGAUAAGCCUGGGAAACUGGGUCUAAUACCGGAUAGGAGCCAUUUUUAGUGUGAUGGUUGGAAAGUUUUUUCGGUGUAGGAUGAGCUCGCGGCCUAUCAGCUUGUUGGUGGGGUAAUGGCCUACCAAGGCGGCGACGGGUAGCCGGCCUGAGAGGGUGGACGGCCACAAUGGGAAUGAGAUACGGCCCAGACUCCUACGGGAGGCAGCAGUGGGGAAUAUUGCACAAUGGGCGCAAGCCUGAUGCAGCGACGCCGCGUGGGGGAUGACGGCCUUCGGGUUGUAAACUCCUUUCGCUAGGGACGAAGCUUUUUGUGACGGUACCUAGAUAAGAAGCACCGGCUAACUACGUG
rnacentral:rRNA from 1 species